AGCAGCCGCGGUAAUUCCAGCUCCAAUAGCGUAUAUUAAAGUUGUUGCAGUUAAAAAGCUCGUAGUUGAAUUUCGGGAUCAAUACGUCGGUCGUGCUUCGGUACGUACUGGCGUCAUUGAUUUCUCCCUUCUGACGAACCAUGAUGUCAUUAACUUGGUGUCUUGGGAAAUCAGGACUGUUACUUUGAAAAAAUUAGAGUGUUUAAAGCAGGCUCACGCUUGAAUACAUUAGCAUGGAAUAAUGAAAUAGGACGUUCGAUCCUAUUUUGUUGGUUUUAGGAUCAACGUAAUGAUUAAUAGGGAUAGUUGGGGGCAUUAGUAUUCAAUUGUCAGAGGUGAAAUUCUUGGAUUUAUUGAAGACUAACUACUGCGAAAGCAUUUGCCAAGGAUGUUUUCAUUAAUCAAGAACGAAAGUUAGGGGAUCGAAGACGAUCAGAUACCGUCGUAGUCUUAACCAUAAACUAUGCCGACUAGGGAUCGGAUGAUGUUAAUUUUUUAAUGACUCAUUCGGCGCCUUACG
rnacentral:rRNA from 2 species